AUACGGAGGGUGCAAGCGUUAAUCGGAAUCACUGGGCGUAAAGCGCACGCAGGCGGUUUGCUAAGUCAGAUGUGAAAGCCCCGGGCUUAACCUGGGAACUGCAUUUGAUACUGGCAAACUAGAGUAUGGGAGAGAGAAGUAGAAUUCCACAUGUAGCGGUGAAAUGCGUAGAGAUGUGGAGGAAUAUCAGUGGCGAAGGCGACUUCUUGGCCCAAUACUGACGCUCAGGUGCGAAAGCGUGGGGAGCAAACAGGAUUAGAAACCCCAGUAGUCC
rnacentral:rRNA from 1 species